rnacentral:tRNA from 1 species
GAGGGUAUAGUUCAGUGGCAGAGCACAUGCUUAGCAUGCGUGAGGUCCUGGGUUCAAUCCCCAGUACCUCCU